UUAAAACAUCGGUUCCCGUACGAUCACCGGAGUUAAGCAUCAUCGAGCCUGGUCAGUAUCUAGAUGGGUGACCGCUUAGGAAUACUAGGUUCUGUA